AUAGCGCGGUGGACCCACCUGAAUCCAUGCCGAACUCAGAAGUGAAACGCCGUAGCGCCGAUGGUAGUGUGGGGUCUCCCCAUGCGAGAGUAGGACACUGCCAGGC
rnacentral:rRNA from 1 species